UCUCCUUCUCAAAUCGUUCCAAUUUUCCGGUCGGAGCUCACCCCCAAAUCGUCGAUCUGCUGUUGCCGCCUCUACUCUCCCACCACCGCGCCACUAGUCCUCUCCCAAGCGCUCCGCCGUCUCCCAUCGAUCUCGUCCGAUACCCGCAGCUCCACCUGGUUCAAGUCAUGCGCCAGCGCACGUAUUGCUCCGCCGCGGGAAGUUAUCGUGGGAGAUGUGGUGGUGUGGUGGUUUCCCUGACCCCCGGUAGGCCACAGAUCUAGAGUAUAAUCUGCACAAAGCAGCCCAGCCGGAGACUUCUUCCUUGAACAACUAAUAGCUACAAUGUCAUUGAUGAUGAGCACGCCAAGAUCAAGAUUAUGCUGGUCAACGUGUCUUGUUUGAAGCACCACCGGCGGGUGACCGACUUCUUCAUGCUGUUGGAAAGGUGUGCUACUCCUAGUACCUCCAUGCCGUACACAAGCAUAUGUCGGCACUCCAGGAGGCAUGGAGGGUUAUGAAGAGUAGCAUUCUUGGUAGGGAGAACACUAGCAACAUUUCUAGUUAUCAUCUUGCUUUUCUAGUUGCUGCACUUACUGGGAGUACACCUUAUCAUCUUGGUGCUCUCAUUGCUCGUCGUUUAUCCAAUAAGGGGCCUAUUUUUUGAGGAAUUGUUGCCUCACGUAUUAUUGCAUAUCUAGAUUUUCAUCUUGAUCCUAGUGAUGAGAAAUUAACUCCUAUUAGGCUUAAUAUUGCUGCUAUGAAGUGUCACCAAUUUGUCACAACUCACUCUAGUUUAGAAAAUAUUGUCUAUAAAAUGUUGUUUAUUGACGGAGAUGAGAGGGAAAUCCCUUUACCGCAGACCGAUUUGUUCAGUGUUCACACGAGACCGUGGUCGCGCUCCAAGGAGGAGGUGGAUUAGCAGCUGAGGAUACAUGGUUUCCACCAGCAGCAUGACUCCGAGGAUGCCGAGUCCUCCGACAGGUACACUGUCACAUCCUGGUGCAUCUUCCAGCACAUACCAAGAACAGGAUCCUUCUUCAUCAUACUACGGAGGUGCCACUUCAUGGGCACCGUGGGAUUGAUCUCCACUUAGGCCAAAAGCCUAAGCUUGGGGGGAGGUACCGGUUCGUCGACUGAGCACCCUGCGUCCCUGCCCCUUCCCUCUUCCCCGCAGUGCUUUGGGGUGAUGGGCGUGCGUGGACCGCGACCAGUUCGGAGGAUGUGGGGAACCGGCCACAGGUGAAGCUGGCGUCGUGAGGAGCCUGCGGCGGGGAGAACCGGCGGCGCGCCGGGGAACCGGCCACAGGUGAAGCUGGCGGCGUGAGGAGCCUGCGGCGGGGAGAACCGGCGGCGCGCUGAUGUGCUAUGCCGGAUGCUGGGUGGAGGGCGGCGACAUCGAGCAGAUUGGACGAUACGAUGAACCGGCCGCAGGUGAAGCUGGCGUGGU